rnacentral:rRNA from 1 species
CUACGGGUCGCACCAGUGGGGAAUAUUGCACAAUGGGCGCAAGCCCGAUGCAGCCAUGCCGCGUGUAUGAAGAAGGCCUUCGGGUUGUAAAGUACUUUCAGCGGGGAGGAAGGGAGUAAAGUUAAUACCUUUGCUCAUUGACGUUACCCGCAGAAGAAGCACCGGCUAACUCCGUGCCAGCAGCCGCGGUAAUACGGAGGGUGCAAGCGUUAAUCGGAAUUACUGGGCGUAAAGCGCACGCAGGCGGUUUGUUAAGUCAGAUGUGAAAUCCCCGGGCUCAACCUGGGAACUGCAUCUGAUACUGGCAAGCGUGAGUCUCGUAGAGGGGGGUAGAAUUCCAGGUGUAGCGGUGAAAUGCGUAGAGAUCUGGAGGAAUACCGGUGGCGAAGGCGGCCCCCUGGACGAAGACUGACGCUCAGGUGCGAAAGCGUGGGGAGCAAACAGGAUUAGAUACCCUAGUAGUC